rnacentral:tRNA from 1 species
GGCCUCAUUGUCCAACGGCUAAGACGCAUCCUUGACAUGGAUGUAACCCAGGUUCAACUCCUGGUGGGGCCA